rnacentral:rRNA from 1 species
GAUGAACGCUAGCGGCAGGCCUAAUACAUGCAAGUCGGACGGGAUUGAGAAGCUUGCUUUUCAUGAGAGUGGCGCACGGGUGCGUAACACGUAUGUAACCUACCUUAAUCAGUGGGAUAGCCUCUCGAAAGAGAGAUUAACACCGCAUAAAAUCAAUUUAUGGCAUCAUAGAAUGAUCAACUAUUUAUAGGAUUAAGAUGGGCAUGCGGAACAUUAGCUAGUUGGUAAGGUAACGGCUUACCAAGGCUACGAUGUUUAGGGGAUCUGAGAGGAUGACCCCCCACACUGGUACUGAGACACGGACCAGACUCCUACGGGAGGCAGCAGUAAGGAAUAUUGGUCAAUGGGCGCAAGCCUGAACCAGCCAUGCCGCGUGCAGGAAGACGGCCCUACGGGUUGUAAACUGCUUUUGUACCGGAAUAAACCUUUGUAUGUAUACGAAGCUGAAUGUACGGUAAGAGUAAGGAUCGGCUAACUCCGUGCCAGCCGCCGCCGUAA